rnacentral:rRNA from 1 species
AUUGAACGCUGGCGGCAGGCUUAACACAUGCAAGUCGAGCGGGGGAAGGUAGCUUGCUACCGGACCUAGCGGCGGACGGGUGAGUAAUGCUUAGGAAUCUGCCUAUUAGUGGGGGACAACAUUCCGAAAGGAAUGCUAAUACCGCAUACGUCCUACGGGAGAAAGCAGGGGAUCUUCGGACCUUGCGCUAAUAGAUGAGCCUAAGUCGGAUUAGCUAGUUGGUGGGGUAAAGGCCUACCAAGGCGACGAUCUGUAGCGGGUCUGAGAGGAUGAUCCGCCACACUGGGACUGAGACACGGCCCAGACUCCUACGGGAGGCAGCAGUGGGGAAUAUUGGACAAUGGGGGGAACCCUGAUCCAGCCAUGCCGCGUGUGUGAAGAAGGCCUUAUGGUUGUAAAGCACUUUAAGCGAGGAGGAGGCUACUGAGACUAUACUCUUGGAUAGUGGACGUUAUUCGCAGAAUAAGCACCGGCUAACUCUGUGCCAGCCGCCGCCGUAA